rnacentral:rRNA from 2 species
UUUAUUGGAGAGUUUGAUCCUGGCUCAGGAUGAACGCUGGCGGCGUGCCUAAUACAUGCAAGUCGAGCGAAUGGAUUAAGAGCUUGCUCUUAUGAAGUUAGCGGCGGACGGGUGAGUAACACGUGGGUAACCUGCCCAUAAGACUGGGAUAACUCCGGGAAACCGGGGCUAAUACCGGAUAACAUUUUGAACUGCAUGGUUCGAAAUUGAAAGGCGGCUUCGGCUGUCACUUAUGGAUGGACCCGCGUCGCAUUAGCUAGUUGGUGAGGUAA